UCCGUGCUGCAUCUUCCUGCUG
rnacentral:misc_RNA from 1 species